GUUAAAACAUCGGUUCCCUUACGAUCACCGAAGUUAAGCAACGUCGAGCCUGGUUAGUACCUAGAUGGGUGACCGCUUGCGAAUGCCAGCUGUUGUAA
rnacentral:rRNA from 1 species